UGAGCUUGAUCCUGGCUCAGGAUGAACGCUAGCGGCAGGCUUAACACAUGCAAGUCGAGGGGUAUUUAUCUUCGGAUAGAGAGACCGGCGCACGGGUGCGUAACGCGUAUGCAAUCUACCUUUUACAGAGGGAUAGCCCAGAGAAAUUUGGAUUAAUACCUCAUAGUAUAUAGACUCGGCAUCGAGAUUAUAUUAAAGUCACAACGGUAAAAGAUGAGCAUGCGUCCCAUUAGCUAGUUGGUAAGGUAACGGCUUACCAAGGCUACGAUGGGUAGGGGUCCUGAGAGGGAGAUCCCCCACACUGGUACUGAGACACGGACCAGACUCCUACGGGAGGCAGCAGUGAGGAAUAUUGGACAAUGGGCGCAAGCCUGAUCCAGCCAUGCCGCGUGCAGGAUGACGGUCCUAUGGAUUGUAAACUGCUUUUAUACGAGAAGAAACAUCCCGACGUGUCGGGACUGACGGUAUCGUAGA
rnacentral:rRNA from 1 species